UACGUAGGGAGCAAGCGUUGUCCGGAAUCAUUGGGCGUAAAGCGCGCGUAGGUGGCUUCGUAAGUCCGUUGUGAAAGUCAAAGGCUCAACCUUUGAAAGCCGAUGGAUACUGCGGAGCUAGAGUGCGGAAGGGGCAACUGGAAUUCUCGGUGUAGCGGUGAAAUGCGUAGAUAUCGAGAGGAACACCAGUGGCGAAGGCGGCCAUCUGGGACAACACUGACGCUGAGGCACGAAAGCGUGGGGAGCAAACAGG
rnacentral:rRNA from 1 species